rnacentral:rRNA from 1 species
UACGUAGGAGACGAGCGUUGUCCGGAAUUACUGGGCGUAAAGCGCGUGUAGGCGGAUGGGCAAGUCUGCUGUGAAAGCUCCUGGCUUAACCGGGAGUGGUCGGUGGAAACUGCCAAUCUGGAGGACGGUAGAGGUAGGUAGAAUUCCCGGUGUAGUGGUGAAAUGCGUUGAGAUCGGAAGGAACGCCCGUGGCGAAAGCGAGGCCCUGGACCCUUACUGACGCUGAGACGCGAAAGCCAGGGGAGCGAACGGG